rnacentral:rRNA from 1 species
AGCAUGUGGUUUAAUUCGAUGCAACGCGAAGAACCUUACCUACUCUUGACAUCCUGCGAACUUGUGAGAGAUCACUUGGUGCCUUCGGGAACGCAGAGACAGGUGCUGCAUGGCUGUCGUCAGCUCGUGUUGUGAAAUGUUGGGUUAAGUCCCGUAACGAGCGCAACCCUUGUCCUUAUUUGCCAGCACGUAAUGGUGGGAAACUCUAAGGAGACUGCCGGUGACAAACCGGAGGAAGGUGGGGACGACGUCAAGUCAUCAUGGCCCUUACGAGUAGGGCUACACACGUGCUACAAUGGCCGGUACAAAGGGUUGCCAACUCGCGAGAGUGAGCUAAUCCCGAAAAGCCGGUCUCAGUCCGGAUCGGAGUCUGCAACUCGACUCCGUGAAGUCGGAAUCGCUAGUAAUCGUGAAUCAGAAUGUCACGGUGAAUACGUUCCCGGGCCUU